CCUACGGGGGGCAGCAGUGGGGAAUAUUGGGCAAUGGGCGCAAGCCUGACCCAGCAAUGCCGCGUGAAGGACGAAGGCCCUCGGGUUGUAAACUUCUUUUAUCAGAGACGAAAGAUGUGACGGUACCUGAUGAAUAAGCUCCGGCUCACUACUUGCCAGAAUCCGCGGUAAUACGGAGGGAGCAAGCGUUAUCCGGAUUUAAUGGGUGUAAAGAGCGCGUAGGCGGGAUGGCAAGUCAGAUGUGAAGUCCAGGGGCUUAACCCCUGAACUGCAUUUGAAACUGUCGUUCUGGAGUACUGGAGAGGUUGACGGAAUUCCUAGUGUAGCGGUGAAAUGCGUAGAUAUUAGGAGGAACACCAGUGGCGAAGGCGGGCAACUGGAAAGCAACUGACGCUGAGGCGCGAAAGCGUGGGGAGCAAACAGGAUUAGAGACCCCAGUAGUC
rnacentral:rRNA from 1 species